rnacentral:misc_RNA from 1 species
UCGAAUAAACUUGAAUGGGUUGUUGCUGGCAUUAGCAAGUGCACGCCUGUCAUUUUUAUCUUUCCACUUGUGCACAUAUUUCUGUAGAUUGAUUGAGGAUUUUGCUUCUUUUUAUGGGCUAUCCUUGCAACUUUUAGAUCUACUUAUUUCACAACCUCUAAAAUAUGUAUAGAAUGUUGAAUUUUGGAUAAUAAUA